AAUCAACGCUGGCGGCGUGCCUAACACAUGCAAGUCGAACGCGAAAAUGGAGCAAUCCAUGAGUAGAGUGGCAAACGGGUGAGUAACACGUGGGUGACCUGCCUUCGAGUGGGGGAUAACGUCCCGAAAGGGACGCUAAUACCGCAUAAUAUGCUGUCUUUUAAGAGAGAGACAUCAAAGCCGGGGACCGCAAGGCCUGGCGCUUGAAGAGGGGGCCCGCGCCUGAUUAGCUAGUUGGUGGGGUAAUGGCUCACCAAGGCAACGAUCAGUAUCCGGCCUGAGAGGGCGGACGGACACACUGGGACUGAGACACGGCCCAGACUCCUACGGGAGGCAGCAGUGGGGAAUUGUUCGCAAUGGGCGCAAGCCUGACGACGCAACGCCGCGUGGAGGAUGAAGAUCUUCGGGUCGUAAACUCCUUUCGAUCGAGACGAAUGGCCCUUGGGAUAAUACCCUGAGGGAGUGACGGUACCGAGAGAAGAAGCCCCGGCUAACUCCGUGCCAG
rnacentral:rRNA from 1 species